AUUGAACGCUGGCGGCAUGCCUUACACAUGCAAGUCGAACGGUAACAGGUCUUCGGAUGCUGACGAGUGGCGAACGGGUGAGUAAUACAUCGGAACGUGCCUAGUAGUGGGGGAUAACUACUCGAGGGAGUGGCUAAUACCGCAUGAGAUCUACGGAUGAAAGCAGGGGAUCGCAAGACCUUGUGCUACUAGAGCGGCCGAUGGCAGAUUAGGUAGUUGGUGGGAUAAAAGCUUACCAAGCCGACGAUCUGUAGCUGGUCUGAGAGGACGAUCAGCCACACUGGGACUGAGACACGGCCCAGACUCCUACGGGAGGCAGCAGUGGGGAAUUUUGGACAAUGGGCGCAAGCCUGAUCCAGCAAUGCCGCGUGCAGGAUGAAGGCCUUCGGGUUGUAAACUGCUUUUGUACGGAACGAAAAGCCCUGGGUUAAUACCCUGGGGUCAUGACGGUACCGUAAGAAUAAGCACCGGCUAACUACGUGCCAGCCGCCGCAGUAACAC
rnacentral:rRNA from 1 species